GUAGUCGAUGGGAAACAGGUUAAUAUUCCUGUACUUGGUGUUACUGCGAAGGGGGGACGGAGAAGGCUAUGUUGGCCGGGCGACGGUUGUCCCGGUUUAAGCGUGUAGGCUGGUUUUCCAGGCAAAUCCGGAAAACCAAGGCUGAGGCGUGAUGACGAGGCACUACGGUGCUGAAGCGACAAAUGCCCUGCUUCCAGGAAAAGCCUCUAAGCAUCAGGUAACAUCAAAUCGUACCCCAAACCGACACAGGUGGUCAGGUAGAGAAUACCAAGGCGCUUGAGAGAACUCGGGUGAAGGAACUAGGCAAAAUGGUGCCGUAACUUCGGGAGAAGGCACGCUGAUAUGUAGGUGAAGCGACUUGCUCGUGGAGCUGAAAUCAGUCGAAGAUACCAGCUGGCUGCAACUGUUUAUUAAAAACACAGCACUGUGCAAACACGAAAGUGGACGUAUACGGUGUGACGCCUGCCCGGUGCCGGAAGGUUAAUUGAUGGGGUUAGCGGUAACGCGAAGCUCUUGAUCGAAGCCCCGGUAAACGGCGGCCGUAACUAUAACGGUCCUAAGGUAGCGAAAUUCCUUGUCGGGUAAGUUCCGACCUGCACGAAUGGCGUAAUGAUGGCCAGGCUGUCUCCACCCGAGACUCAGUGAAAUUGAACUCGCUGUGAAGAUGCAGUGUACCCGCGGCAAGACGGAAAGACCCCGUGAACCUUUACUAUAGCUUGACACUGAACAUUGAGCCUUGAUGUGUAGGAUAGGUGGGAGGCUUUGAAGUGUGGACGCCAGUCUGCAUGGAGCCGACCUUGAAAUACCACCCUUUAAUGUUUGAUGUUCUAACGUUGGCCCGUAAUCCGGGUUGCGGACAGUGUCUGGUGGGUAGUUUGACUGGGGCGGUCUCCUCCUAAAGAGUAACGGAGGAGCACGAAGGUUGGCUAAUCCUGGUCGGACAUCAGGAGGUUAGUGCAAUGGCAUAAGCCAGCUUGACUGCGAGCGUGACGGCGCGAGCAGGUGCGAAAGCAGGUCAUAGUGAUCCGGUGGUUCUGAAUGGAAGGGCCAUCGCUCAACGGAUAAAAGGUACUCCGGGGAUAACAGGCUGAUACCGCCCAAGAGUUCAUAUCGACGGCGGUGUUUGGCACCUCGAUGUCGGCUCAUCACAUCCUGGGGCUGAAGUAGGUCCCAAGGGUAUGGCUGUUCGCCAUUUAAAGUGGUACGCGAGCUGGGUUUAGAACGUCGUGAGACAGUUCGGUCCCUAUCUGCCGUGGGCGCUGGAGAACUGAGGGGGGCUGCUCCUAGUACGAGAGGACCGGAGUGGACGCAUCACUGGUGUUCGGGUUGUCAUGCCAAUGGCACUGCCCGGUAGCUAAAUGCGGAAGAGAUAAGUGCUGAAAGCAUCUAAGCACGAAACUUGCCCCGAGAUGAGUUCUCCCUGACUCCUUGAGAGUCCUGAAGGAACGUUGAAGACGACGACGUUGAUAGGCCGGGUGUGUAAGCGCAGCGAUGCGUUGAGCUAACCGGUACUAAUGAACCGUGAGG
rnacentral:rRNA from 1 species